ACCAGCCGUUUAAGGUAACCUCAAGCUAGCAUCUGGGGGGAAAGUUAACCAGCCGUUUAAAGUAACCUCAAGCUAGCAUCUGGGGGGAAAGUUAACCAGCCGUUUAAGGUAAUCUCAAGCUAGCAUCUGGGGGGAAAGUUAACCAGCCGUUUAAGGUAACCUCAAGCUAGCAUCUGGGGGGAAAGUUAACCAGCCGUUUAAGGUAACCUCAAG